GCAUUGGUGGUUCAGUGGUAGAAUUCUUGCCUUCCAAGCAGGAGACCUGGGUUCAACUUCCAGCCAAUGCA